CCCGCCCGCCCGCAGCGAGCACAGCUCCGGGACCGCAGCGGGGGAGGGGAGGGGAGGGGAGGGGGCGGCAGCCCUGGCGGACUGCGCAUGCGCUGCGGCUCGUGAGGCGAGGCCGAGCGGUCGCCGCUGCCGCUGGCUCCCGCUCUGCCGCUGGCUUCCGCUGCCGCCCGCAGCGCUGGGGUGGGGGCAGCUCUGCCUGGAGCCUCUCUGCUCCCCCCGUCCGCAGAGGGGCAGUGCGCCAGGGGAGUCCCCAGGAGUGGGGCCGGCACAGCUGAGCCGCGAGCCCCGUCCCCUCCCGCGCCAGGCGCGGCUGGAUCCGGGCUCAGCCCCUUUGUGUCCGGCCGGGCUGCGCCCUCGUCGCAGCAGCAUGGCCUGGGGGGCGCGUCCACACCUGGCAGGGCUGAGAAGAGGCGGGGCGGCGGGGGAGGUUUCUGAGGCUAAACUCUGACUGGGUCUGGCAGACUCUCGUGUUUCUUAAGUGCCUUUGAAUUGGGAUUUGGGUUGCCCUAGAUCCAGCUUGCCCCCAGGUUGUUUUUUUGAGGCCCCAAAUUAGUAGGAUUCAGCUGUUUCCUCUGCAUUUCAGGCUGUAGUUCUGUUCCCUCUGGGUGCUCUAGACCUGCAAUUAAUGCAAAGCAAUAAACUCCGGAGCAGUUUGAGCUGGAGUAAACUACUCCUGGGUAUAGUGUCUGCAUGUGUGCCCAGGACAGCAGCACAUUGAGGCAUGGCAGAGCAGGCCCACGCUAGCAGGGUGCUGAAGGGCAUCAGCUCUGGGUUCCUGAGGGGUGCUGGAAGUGCAGAGCCUCUGGCAGGGUGACAGGCAGCAGCCUGGCCCCCAGCAAGCUGGCCUGGCAGGGUGCAGUUCUUGCCCCUGGUUACAUGUGCUUAAUCAGAGUGAAUUACCCUGGUGUAAGAUAGUACAUUCCUGGAUAGUACUAUUUUAGAACAGCAUAAAUUAGUUUACUGCAGCCUGCUACCCUCACACCUGUAGACGGUGAUGCUUUACUCCACAGCUAAUUACUCUACCCUGCACUAAAGAGCUUGUGUAGAGGCAGGCAGUGGGCACAGCUACAUGAGACGCUGGCUGUGCAGUAGUCAAAUCAUACUGCACAGUAGCACAUCACAGUGCCAACAAUGCUAAUAUGCUACAGUGCAGUAUUAUUAGGCUACUGCACAGUAGCAUCACAGAUGUUCACUGGUACUACUACACAGUAACUCCCAUUGCUGCACAUUUAGGGCACUUUUAAGCAUGCAUGCAUCGCAACGCUGGGCAAGCGCCUAGCGCUGUGACGCAUACAAUUGUAUGAGCAGCAAAAUGUGCGUCAGCAUUGGGAAAAGCAGCAGAUCUCUGGCAUAUCACUGGAAAAAAAGGAUGUGUAUAAAUGCUCUUAUUUAGUACUUGAUUAUAUGAGUACUAAAUAAAUGCGCAGUAACCACUGCACAGUAGCAUCUCAUGUAGACAUGCCUACCAAAUAGCAAACUAGUACUGAGGUUGAGGAGCUGUGCUCCCCUGGGGGAAAUGAAUGCUUGUUAAGUUCAACUCCUUUUUUCUUCUGCAAAUAUCACAAAAGGGUCUAUACCUGCUGUAAACAUAAUAUGCAUAAAGCGACAGCAAGGUUGUGGUGGGUUUUUGACUGACAGGAUCGUAGUCCUCACAGUGCUCUGAGAGGUGCAUGCACAACUAUCCUAAUUAAUAAUAGCUUUUCCCUUGGUACCGGUCUGAAAAAAAUGUAUCCUUUUGUUCACUUAUUGCUCUGAGCCUCAGCCACUAACUCCCAAACUUAAUUUUAUGUUCUCCAGGAAUUCCAUUGAAUGCAGUAGAACUAUUCAUGAGUUAAGCUGUGUACAGAUAAAUGAGCUUCGUACCUGGGGAGAAAACAUAAUCAUUGUCGUCAUCAUCAAAAGCAAACCAAGUCUACCAAAUGGAACCAUAUUUUCUGGACAUCUGCCAUACAUCUGCAAAAAUACCUUUUUAUUGAAUAUCCUGGACACAACUGCAGAAGGUUCGUUCCUUCCUUACCCUUUCCCAAGUUUGUUCCUCAUGCGGUCGCUUAAAUUCAUUGAUGAAUGCAUGUAGACCUGUGCUGAAGCAAGUCUACAAGGUGGACUCCUGGGCAAGUCUGGAAUGUUUGAAAAUCUAUAGGAGCUUUCAUUGGUGGCCAGUAGUUCUAAUGGCCCUUCCCCAUGGCCACAUUGAAAUUUCACGUGACAGAAAACUACUGCUGUUCUCAUUUCAACAUGCUUUAGUUAUAUUUGAAUAAUCUGUAGAAAGAAGGAAAUAUUUUCUGUAUAGAACAUGCAUGUCUAUUCCAUAUAAAAUAUGUUAUAUCACAUUUAUUGCUGUUGUCAGUUCUGGUCUUUCUUUUUAAUGAUCUGUUCCAGCCAUGGGAAUUAACUAGUUAAUUAACUAGUUAAAAAAUUAAAGAAAUGGCUAAUUUUUAACUGUAACUAGUUAAAUUUUUCAGCUGUCAACUUUUAACUUUAACUUGUUAAAAAAAAGGUUAACUUUAACUUUUUUUAAAGUAUAAGUUAAAAGUUAAAAAAAUUGAAAUCUGGCUUUCCCAGAGUUUUUUCUGACAGCUACUCCUAGGACUUAAAUGGAAUGAUAGUUCUUUAUUGAAACUCUAGGACUUCUUGUUUGAGAGAGAGAGAGAGAGAGUAGGAUGCCUUCCUAUGAAAUAUGGUCUCUUAAGAACUGUAAGUCUCAGAGUUCCUUAGUUCAUGCUGGCAUUUUUCUGUGCAUUUGCAGAAGUCAACAGGGCAGCCAGUUGGCUGCAGGAGGGAACAAGCACAAGCAAGCAGAGACAUUGAUCCCAGUAAGAGUGGGAGCGAAUAGUGAGGGUGAAGCAGAUGAUGACUUUUUUUAGUUUUAAUGAAGAUUAGAACCAGCAGCCCAGGGCCCAAGAAGUUGAGCAUUACUUCUCAUCUGUGAGAAACUUAUCUGAGAUGUCACCUACUAUGAAAAAACUACUCAUCUGUUAUAACACAAGCAUUCCCUCAUCUACCCCUGUAGAGUGAUUGUUUAGUAGUGGGGGCUUAGUUUUGCAAGACAGAAAAGGAAAAUUGUCAGAUGUACGUUUUGAAGCUUUUGCUGAAGUUCAAUAAGCAUGUUUAAACAGUUUUGCUAUGCAACUGAACAUUCUUUUUCUCAUUUGAGCCUAAUUUUGAUUUUCAGACACUUUCAUUAUUUCUAAUUCAGAUGUAUUUCAUACCCUUUUGUUACCUUUUGAGCAAUAAAAAUUGUAGCAACAGA